rnacentral:rRNA from 1 species
UGGGGAAUAUUGCACAAUGGGCGCAAGCCUGAUGCAGCGACGCCGCGUGAGGGAUGACGGCCUUCGGGUUGUAAACCUCUUUCAGCAGGGACGAAGCGCAAGUGACUGUACCUGCAGAAGAAGCGCCGGCUAACUACGUGCCAGCAGCCGCGGUAAUACGUAGGGCGCAAGCGUUGUCCGGAAUUAUUGGGCGUAAAGAGCUCGUAGGCGGUCUGUUGCGUCGGAAGUGAAAUCCCGGGGCUUAACCCCGGGCUUGCUUUCGAUACGGGCAGACUAGAGUGUGGUAGGGGAGACUGGAAUUCCUGGUGUAGCGGUGAAAUGCGCAGAUAUCAGGAGGAACACCGGUGGCGAAGGCGGGUCUCUGGGCCACUACUGACGCUGAGGAGCGAAAGCGUGGGGAGCAAACA